CCUACGGGAGGCAGCAGUGAGGAAUAUUGGUCAAUGGGCGCAAGCCUGACCCAGCAACGCCGCGUGAAGGAAGAAGGCUUUCGGGUUGUAAACUUCUUUUCUCAGGGACGAAGCAAGUGACGGUACCUGAGGACUAAGCCACGGCUAACUACGUGCCAGCAGCCGCGGUAAUACGUAGGUGGCAAGCGUUAUCCGGAUUUACUGGGUGUAAAGGGCGUGUAGGCGGGGACGCAAGUCAGAUGUGAAAACCACGGGCUCAACCUGUGGCCUGCAUUUGAAACUGUGUUUCUUGAGUACUGGAGAGGCAGACGGAAUUCCUAGUGUAGCGGUGAAAUGCGUAGAUAUUGCGCAGAACCCCGAUUGCGAAGGCAGCGUGCCGUGCCGCCACUGACGCUGAGGCACGAAAGCGCGGGGAUCGAACAGGAUUAGAUACCCUUGUAGUC
rnacentral:rRNA from 1 species